rnacentral:snRNA from 1 species
GUGCUCUUUUCGGCAGCACAUAUACUAAAAUUGGAUCAAUUCAGAGAUUAGCACGGCCCCUGUGCAAGGAUGACAUGCAAGUUUGUGAAGUGUUCCAUAUUAAA